GACGAACGCUGGCGGCGUGCUUAACACAUGCAAGUCGAACGGAAAGGCCCUGCUUUUGUGGGGUGCUCGAGUGGCGAACGGGUGAGUAACACGUGAGUAACCUGCCCUUGACUUUGGGAUAACUUCAGGAAACUGGGGCUAAUACCGGAUAGGAGCUCCUGCUGCAUGGUGGGGGUUGGAAAGUUUCGGCGGUUGGGGAUGGACUCGCGGCUUAUCAGCUUGUUGGUUGGGUAGUGGCUUACCAAGGCUUUGACGGGUAGCCGGCCUGAGAGGGUGACCGGCCACAUUGGGACUGAGAUACGGCCCAGACUCCUACGGGAGGCAGCAGUGGGGAAUAGUGCACUAUGGGCGGAAGCCUGAUGCAGCAACGCAGCGUGCGGGAUGACGGCCUUCGGGUUGUAUACCGAUUUCGCCUGUGACGAAGCGUGAGUGACGGUAAUGGGUAAAGAAGCACCGGCUAACUACGUG
rnacentral:rRNA from 1 species